rnacentral:lncRNA from 1 species
ACAGUAUAAAGAAACAUUGAGUAUGAAAUAGAAACACAAUCAUUAGUUCUCUAGCUAUAUUUCCUUCCAGAUGUGUCUAAGUAAACUUUCAUUUUUUCUUUGAAAGGAUUAUUUAUUUUUUAUGAUUUUUAUUUUUUCCAUUAUAGUUGAUUUACAGUGUUCUGUCAAUUUCCACUGUGCAGCAAAGUGACCCAGCCAUAUAUAUAUAUAUUUUUUUCUCACAUUAUCCUCCAUCACAUUCCAUCACAAGUGACUAGAUAUAUUUCCCUGUGCUAUACAGUAGGAUCUCCUUGCUUAUCCACUCCAAAUGCAAUAAUUUACAUCUAUUAACCCCAGACUCCCAAUCCAUCCCACUCCCUCCCCAUUCCCCUUGACCACCACAAGUCUGUUCUCCAAGUCCAUGAGUUUCUCUCAGUUUUGGUUACUUUUAGAUUUACAGAAAAGUGAAGCUAAUCAGAGAAUUCCCAUAUACCCAUCACCCAGUUUCCCCUGAUGUUAAUACCUUUCACAAAUGUGAUAAGUUUGUCAAAAGUCAAUGAUAAACUCUAUUUUAAAUUUCACCAGUUUUUCCACUCAUGUCCUUUUUCUGUUUCAGGAUCCGUUCCAGGACAUCAGAGUUCAUUUAGCUUCCAUGUAUUUUUUGUGUGUAUUUGUUUGUUGAAAAACAAAUGCAUUCACAGUAUGUAAAGUCACCUCCUCUCCAGAGGUCUGAGCAGACCCAAAUAAGGUUAAACCGUUGUGCUUUGGUGGAGCUGUGGGCUUUACUCAGAGUUCUCAGUAGCUUCUAUCUUGGCAGGAACUCCACUCUGCAACUGACACUUUCUUCUGUAAGUGGAAUUACUAAAUUAAGCCAAACUGUAGUUUUAAAUGGUUUCCUUUUAGAAGAAUUAAUUACCUGAGUUUGGUAGUAUGAGAUUCAAGUUAAAAGAAACCUCCUAUUCCAGGUACUCUUUUUUUUUUUUAAAAAAAAAAAAAAAGAUUUUUAAAAAAAUAACCCAAAUUAUCAAAACAGAUUGUUGAGCCAGUUCAAAUAACCCUCAGUACCAGUAUAUGUGCUUCACUGUUUGAACUGGUGCUCCAGUUUGACCGCUUUUGCCUCAUCUGUCCUUGCCUUUGUGGUCAACCCUCCCAGAGUGGCUCAGAGAAGCCAGAUGUGGGUAACUGGCCACCUCGCAUCUUACCCUGGACUGUUUCCCCUCCCCCUUGCCUUCCUGCUGCCUUUAUCCCCUUCGUUCUGGUUCUUCCGUUUCCUGGCUUCUUACGCCAAAUCCUGAUGCCCACCUCAGUUCCUUUUACUUGUUUUGUUUAUUUUCAUUUUUAUACAAAACUAUCCCAUUCAUCCACAUUUUUGGAGAAAAUUAGAACCUACAGAUAAGCAUAAAGGAAAAAUUGAAAUUAUCUAUAAUCCUAUUAAUACUAAUAUCCUUACAUUCUGUUUUCUAAAAUAGACAUGUACAUUCUCUCUAAAUAGGCUCAUAUAGUGAUAACAACAUAAUGACGUGUAGCAUCUGUGCCCCUAUGAAGUUGGUUAAUCCUCAAAAUGUCCCAUGAAGGGAUACUAUUGUUAUCUGCACUGUACAGGUGGGGAGAAUAAGUGCUUUGCCUGAGAUUGUAUGGCUGGGAAGUGGAGGAGCUGAUAUUAGAAAAACCAGAUUCCAGGAGUUCCUAGUGUGGCUCAGCAGGUUAAGGACCCAAAGUUGUCUCUGUGAGCAUAGCGGUUCAAUCCUUGGCCUGGCUCAGUGAGUUAAGGAUCCAGAGUUGCUAUAAGCUGUGGUGUAGGUUGCAGAUGCUGCUCGGAUCCCGUGUUGCCAUGGCUGUGGCUUUGGUCUCAGCUCCAAUUUGACCCCUGGCCCCCCAGGGAACUUUCGUAUGCUGCAGGUGUAACUGUAAAAAAAAAAAAAAAAGCAAUAACAAUAAAAUAGUCAGAUUCCAGAAUCCAGAACUGUGAUGUGAUGUUAACCACAGUGAUAGAUACCAUACCAUGUAUCAUUUUAUUACCUACUUCUUGUUACUUAAAAUACAUGAUGAGUAUCUUGCUAUAUCAAUACAUAGAUUCUCCUCUGAGAUAUUAUGUCUCCAAUCUUAUGCACCACACUUCAGUAAACAUCUUUAACCAGAGUCAUGGGAUCCAUCUUGAAUUGUUUACUCAAUCUUUUCUUGUUUCCAUGACUCCUAUGGUCAUCUUUGCUUCUGCUUCUCAGUCUUAUCAUCAACUUCCCCUCUUGCCAUCCCUGCCUACUUCUACAAACACACGCAUGCACACAGCACAGGCACACACACACAUAUGGGGAUACACACCCACACCCACAACACACACAAACAUGCACGAACAUACUCCCCUCUACUCAGCUCCCAACCUGAUCCAUUCCUUUGCUGUGGAAGUACCCACAAUACUCCCAACUACACACCACCUCUGAUGGUUCCAUUUGUGGAUAAUGAUAACUAUAUCAUAAAAGCCUCACUGUGAUGUCUUCAUCUAGGUUUAUACAAAUAAUUCAUUUUGACAAAUAUUUCUUGGACAUCCACUAUUUAUAACAUAUUUGAGGGACACAAAAGUAUAGCUCCUCUCCUCCAGAAACCUACAGUCCUGGUAAAUGACUGAGAGGCAAGUAGAACCAACCAGAAUGUAAACUACUAGUAAAUGAAGAUAUUCAUACCAUGAGUUGGGAGCCAAGAGGAAACAGCUAUGGAUUUUGAUUGGAAAGCUUGUAGAAGGUUUCCAAAGGAGGAGACCAAAUGACUAAUCAGCAUGUCCUUGUUCUGUCUUCAGUGGGUGCCAUAUAUGAAGGUCUGACAGGAUGGAUCACCCAGGAGUCAGGGCUUUGAGCCCAGCUUUUGAAGGAGAACAGCAGUAUGGUGAUCAGCCACAUUGGUUUGCCCAGGACUGAAGGGAGUUCUCAGGACAUGACACCUUCAGUGUCCAAACCAACAAAGUCUCGGGUGAAGAGGGGACAGGUUGAUCACCCCCAGUAGCCAUGAACCACAUAGACAAAACCAGUUGCCCUUAGGGAGCUCACGUCUUAGAGAAGAGAGACAAAUUGUAAGCUAGAGAAGGAAUGAAAGGAUGUGAUGUCAGGGUGUGAUGGAGAAAAUAAGGCAGAGAGAGGGGAUAGAGAGGGACGGGAAGGCUAGGGCUUGGGGAGUGGUCUACAUUAAGACUGAGUCAUUGGGGAAGGCCUGUCAGAACCAGGAGCAUAGCCAGACAGACUGUCAUGUGGAUGCCUGGGCAGAAACAUUUUAGAUAAGUGCAGCAUGAGCUUCUGUGUGAGGAGACAAAGAGUUGGGGGUGGGAUCAGAGAGUGGCUUUGUGCCAGAUCCCAUACGCCCAGUCCCCUACAUAUCACUCCAAGAGAGACAGGAUGUUGGAAGGUUUGGGGAGAGAAGUGGCAUCAUUGGAUAUAUAUUUUACAAGGACCAUCCUGGGUGCUAUGUGGGAAAAGAGUGUAGGGAUGGAAGGGUGGAAGCAGGAAGGCUAAGUAGGAGGCUCUUGCAAUACUCCAAGAAGAAGACAAAAUGUGGAUCAGAAAGUGCAGGGGCCUCCCACAAGCUCAGCUAAACACCCACCAUGUCAUCACUAGUGCAAAUUACUUAACUUCAUUAGCUUUUAAUCUUCUUAUCUAUGGAGUGGGGGAUUAACAAAUCGUGCAAGUCAAAUGAAAUUAUGGGUAUGAAAAUGACUAGCAGAAGUGCCUAUGGUCCUAUUAUGAAAAUACUGCAAUGCCAUAGGCAUUAAAAUGUUAACUCACUAAUCUGAUUCUUAAAGCCAGAGACUAGCCACACAAAAAAAAAAUCUGAGUGAUUAGUCACACAGAGAUGCAUGUUCCUUUGUACUGGUCAUAUUCUAGUUCUAUUGGUACAGGUUUAGGCUCUUCUGAUUGCAAAUACAAAACAUUAACAAUUUCCUAAAUAUACUUAGCAGUUUUGUGUUCCUACAUCUUUGCUCCUAAGGUCCCCUUUACUCAGAGAUGGCCUUCCUUCCACACCCAAUCCUGUCCUACUUGGCUCAAAGUCACCUUCUCCGUGGAAACCUCCCUAGGUCUUUUACUCCCAAUAGGAUCAGAUGCUACUUUCUCAUUAUGGUCAUAAGAUUUUGUAUUUAGUUCUAAUACAUGACAGCCUUUUAUCAUAGCUUUUUAUAUGACUUUUUCUAAUAAGAAAAAAUAGAGGAUGGGGCAGGGUUUAAUUUAUCUUGGAUAUUACAAGGCUAUGCCAUUCACCAUACAGCUUUGUCCCUGGAACAUAGGAGGAAUACAGGAAAUUCCUUAUUACUCAGCUAUGAAAAACAAUGAAAUGAUACCAUUUGCAGCAACAUGGAUGGAUCUAGAGAUUAUCACACUAAGUGAAGUAAGGCAGAAGAAAAAGUGAUAUCAUUUAUAUGUAGAAUCUAAAAUGACAAAUGAAUUUAUCGACGAAACAGAAACAAACUCGGACAUAGAGAACAGACUUGUGGUUGCCAAGGGGGAGGGGGAGUGAGGGAGGGAUGAAUUGGGAAUUUGGGGUUAGUGGAUAAAACUAUUGUAUAUAGAAUAGAUAAACAACAGGGUCCUGCUGUAUAGCACAGGGAACUAUAUUCAAUAUCCUGUAAUAAACCAUAAUGGAAAAGAAUAUGCAAAAGAAUAUGAAAAAGAAUAUCUGUGUGCAUAACUGUGUAUAGCAUCACCUUGCUAUACACCAGAAACUAACACAACAUUGGAAAUCAACUGUACUUCAAGAAAAUAAAUUUUUAAAAAAUGAAAUUCCUAAUGAAUUGGGAUUGAAAUGAUUGUGUUAAGAACUUGAUCCCCGUAUACCACUAGGGAAAAUAGAAAUAACAUGCUGUAGCAAAAAGAAUGGAUUUGAAGUCACACCCCUGAGAACACGCUUUACUAAGCUUCGUGGCGUUGUCUACAUCAGUUCAUCUAUCUGAAUCUGUUUCCCUGGCUUUAAGCAGUGGAUACGUUAUCUAUUGCUGCAUAGAAAAUUACCCUGAAACUUGGUAUUCAACAAUUCCUGAGGGUUAGAAUCCAGGAGCCACGUCGCUGGGAGGUUCUGAUUUGGGAUCUCGCUGGCGGCGGGAAAAGACGUCAGCCGGACCCAUCUCUGCUUGAAAGUUGGAGGGAUAGGGAAUCUGCCUCCUGGUUCCCUUUCAGGGUUGGUGGCAGCCAGAUUUUAGUCCCUCUCCAUGUGCGGUCUCCAUAGGGCUGCUCUGGAUGUGGCAGCUGGCUUUUCCCAAAGCAAGUGAUCCAUGAGAGACAGAGGCUAAGGCAGAAGCUGCAGGAUUUAUUAUAACCUAGUCUUAGAAAUGACAUGCCCUGUCAUGUGCUAUAUCCACUGUCCCAUAGGCCAACCCUGGUACCUGUGGGAGAGGUUGCAUGGGUGUGACUACAGGAGACAGGCAUCGCUGGGAAUGACUAUUUAGAAUGAAAAUCGAAGUGUCCUUAGCUUGUCCUGCUAAGAUGCUGAUGAUCUCUGGUUACCCUCCGUCAGACCCCAGGGGGCACACAGCUCUCCAGACCUGACUCCUGUCCACUUUCCCAGCACAUCCUCCUCCCUUCUUUGCCCCAACUCUAUCAAACUUUUUAGUCUCCUGGCUUUCGUCCAUCCUGUUCCCUCUGCUUGGAAUGCUCUUAUUUUCACUGCAAGGGGCUACCCAGUAAGCUCCUCGUGCUGCCAGCCGUCCUCAUGCCCUGCCUCCUGCUGAGGCUUCCUUUCUUCAUUGUCAGGUAGUGUCUUAGGGGGCGUGUCCCCUGUGCCCGGGGGUCAGAAUCAAUCACCCCCGUCCACACCAGAAAGAUUUCCUUUGGAGUUUGUCCUGGAUUAAACACCUGACUGGUCUGUACAGAGUGAUGACAGGAGAAAAAGAAUUAACGUUUCUUCAACUCCCAGCUGCUGCCUCAAGCACUUUCCCAGACAUUAGCCUAUUUUGUCAUACACGUUUUUCCAUUUGGGCAAGUGAUGGUACCUUCAUGGAUCUUGGUCAGCUCACUAGUUAUGUGAGAAUAUUUCCCACAUUUGCCCUGGACACUUCCACUCACCUGUACCUUGCACACAACCUCUCCCUGCCUGGGAUGCUCUCUGCUCCAUCUCCAUGUGUUCAUUCUUACAUAGCCCCCUAGGAUCGAAUCCCAUCUCUGCUCCUUUGGAGCUGAGCAACCUUAGGCAAGUUUCUUAACUUCUCUGAGGUCAGAAAAUAGCUGUAUCUAACAACCACUACUGAUGCUGUGGAGAUGCCUGAUUAGAUGGGUGUUGUCAGGGCCACCUCCAAUAGGAUCUGAGGCCUGGAGGGCUCCGUAAAUGGUGGUUUCCUUUCUUUUCUUUCUUCAGGCUCAAAACAAACAUAGACCCAAAUACCACCCCAUCCCCUCCACCCAGAAUCCAUUCUAUUACAUCUUCCUCCCUACCCGCAAGGUGCCCGUAUGCAGAAGUGUAACCAUAUGUCUCAGAAAUACAAGCCUUGCUGAGGGGGGGAAGAGAGUGUGCCCCAGGCCCUCCAUACCUGGAGGUGGGUCUCAGGAAAGCCAUCCUGUGACAGUGACACGAACAAGAGGAGCUUGUCCAAACUUCUCUGAGCCUCAGUUUCUCUAUCCACAAAAUGGGAAACAUGAAAUCUUCCUGCAAGGAUUAGAUGAGGUAUUUCCAGGAUUUGAAAAGAGUCCCAAGGACUUGGCCUAGAGUAGACGUUCAGUACAUGUUUUAAGCCCUUUCUAGGACGUACAGUUGUUUUGCCCGACUACACCACAGCCACCUAAAUGUGUCACCCAUUUACUAGGGUACAGCCUCACUCAUUAGGCUCCAUGCUGGAAAACUGUUUAGCCCUGGGUCUCAUCUGUUCGGGUUUAUGUCAGCUGUGCUUUCCCUGGUCCCUGAAAGGGAUGUGCUCCUUCCCCAUCAACAUGCCCAAGUUCAUCAUCAAGAGACUUUCAUUACUCAUCUCACGUAGCUUCAUUAUUUAUGUACCAGUCAGAGAUGAUCUUUGGCCUUUUUUUAAUUACAUUUAUUUUUAUUGUCUUCUAUAAUCCUAUCAUAUUUUCAAUUACAUAGCCAUUCAUUCAGCAGUGGGUUUCCCCCCUUUGGCAGAAAAAAAAAAAAAAAAAAAAAAAAA